AGGCUCCAAGGAAGGGAUGAUGCUCCACUGAACACCCAAGAAAAGGAUUCUGAGCCUCAGUGCUCUGAAGGAGCCAUGUGGUCUCUGACCUUCCUGGAGGCUAA